UGUCAUGAAGAUUCCAAGCAGCCUGUACUAGUCAGGUCAGGUUUUCAUAACAAAAUACCACAGACCAGGUUGUUUAAACAACAGAAAUUUAUUUUCCAGAGUUCUGCAGGAUGAGAACUACAAGGCCAAGGUGCCAUCUGAUCCAGUUCCUGAAGCUCUAAGCAUCAAAGAUCUGUGUGAAGAAAAUGAAUCCAGAGAGGAAGAAAUCAUAGAAAAAGAAUGGUUGAGAUGGAAGCUGAUAGAAGUUGCAUUUGGGAAACAACCUUCAAGUUCCUGGAAGUCAGGAAUCAGAAGCAGUUUGGCUGGGAAAUUUCAGCUCAGAAUAUCUCAUGAUGUUACAGUCAAGCAGUCAGCUGAGGCUGCAAACAUCUCAAGGUUCAACAACUCAACUGGGGAUGAGACUCUGUACUCCACCAUUAUGAAACUGAAAGCAAAAGUAAUAUACACCUCUAUAAUCUAAACAAGACUCAGAAUGUCUGAACUGACCUGCAGAUUCUGUAGAUCAGGCAUGUUCGUGUUCUGCUGACCCUGUCAAAAAAAAAAAAAAAAAAAAAAAAGCUCUCUGCCAGCACAUUAAAGACAGCACACUUACAUUAGAGGCUGCACUUUUAAUUUCUGUGACAUGUAAUGAGGCAGUCUAACUAUUCAGAAUAUUUUAUUAGGUCAUAAUGUGUUAAAUGUGGUUUAAUCAAGAGCUGCCAUUAGAUAGCUUCUCAAUGAACUUCAGAUGUAAGAUGAUCAUAUAACAAGUCAUCUAUGGAAUGCCUCUGAAACAGUGUUAAGAAAGAUGGGCCAGUUCUGCAAUAUAAGCAAUAUUACCCUCAUAACUAGUAAUAAUAAUGAUGAAGAUAGCUAAUAUUUAUUGAACACA